AAAAAAUAGAUUUCAUUCAGUAAAAGACCGGAACGGUUCUCCGGGUACCAGAGGUACCAAGAAUACAGAACAGAAUUGAAAAUACAAGGGAAAGAGCAAAAGAAAUAAACUUCCACCAGACCAACUCCACAAAGUAACACCAAAAUCGGACUCCCCAAUCUCCAAACCUCAGCUGAAACAAAAGCAAAAGAACGUAUGAUGUUCUUGAUUAGGAUCAGCCGCUGUAACCCAAUCUUUAGCAAUCCAAACCUCUAACAGCAACAAACCAA
rnacentral:lncRNA from 1 species